rnacentral:rRNA from 1 species
CUAUCUUAGUGGCGGACGGGUGAGUAACGCGUGGGUAACCUGCCUUGCACUGGGGGAUAACACUUAGAAAUAGGUGCUAAUACCGCAUAACAGUAGGAGACGCAUGCCUUUUACUUGAAAACUCCGGUGGUGUAAGAUGGACCCGCGUCUGAUUAGCUUGUUGGCGGGGUAACGGCCCACCAAGGCAACGAUCAGUAGCCGGCCUGAGAGGGUGAACGGCCACAUUGGGACUGAGACACGGCCCAAACUCCUACGGAAGGCAGCAG